GACGAACGCUGGCGGCGUGCCUAAUACAUGCAAGUAGAACGCUGAAGGAGGAGCUUGCUUCUCCGGAUGAGUUGCGAACGGGUGAGUAACGCGUAGGUAACCUGCCUUGUAGCGGGGUAUAACUAUUGGAAACGAUAGCUAAUACCGCAUAACAGUAGAUGUUGCGUGACAUUUGCUUAAAAUUUGCACUUUCAUCACUACCAGAUGGACCUGCGUUGUAUUAGCUAGUUGGUGGGGUAACGGCUCACCAAGGCGACGAUACAUAGCCGACCUGAGAGGGUGGUCGGCCAAACUGGGAACGAGACCCGGCCCAGACUCCUACGGGAGGCAGCAGUAGGGAAUCUUCGGCAAUAGACGGAAGUCUGACCGAGCAACGACGCGUGAGUGAAGAAGGUUUUCGGAUCGUAAAGCUCUGUUGUAAGAGAAGAAAGAGUGUGAGAGUGGAAAGUUCACACUGUGACGGUAUCUUAACAGAAAGGGACGGCUAACUACGUG
rnacentral:rRNA from 1 species